UUGACGGGGAGCACCACAACGGGUGGAGCUUGCGGUUAAUUGGAUUCAACGCCGGACAACUCACCGGAUACGACAGCGGAAUGAUAGUCGGGCUGAAGACUCUACUUGACUAGCUGAGAGGAGGUGCAUGGCCGUCGUCAGUUCGUACUGUGAAGCAUCCUGUUAAGUCAGGCAACGAGCGAGACCCACGCCAACAGUUGCCAGCAUGGUCUUCGGACCGAUGGGGACACUGUUGGGACCGCCUCUGCUAAAGGGGAGGAAGGAAUGGGCAACGGUAGGUCAGCAUGCCCCGAAUUAUCCGGGCUACACGCGGGCUACAAUGGAUGGGACAAUGGGUUUCGACACCGAAAGGUGAAGGUAAUCUCCUAACCCCACCCUUAGUUCGGAUUGCGGGCUGCAACUCGCCCGCAUGAAGCUGGAAUCCGUAGUAAUCGCGUCUCAAGAUGGCGCGGUGAAUAUGUCCCUGCUCCUU
rnacentral:rRNA from 1 species